rnacentral:misc_RNA from 1 species
GUUUGAACGAGGGAUAAUAAUCCCGUCAUAAAAUGCUGGACUAUUUUAUGGGAUAGUCACCAAUGUAAUCAUUCAGCCAUCUGGUUUACCAAAAAUGGCCGAAGUAGACACUACAUAAUUUUCUGUUAUAUUAUCCGAUAUAUAUGGUGGGAUAACUAAUUCCACGGAUAUCCCAAUCCAUGUGAUAACUUAGUCUACCCCAAUGCCCAUACCAAACAACCCCUUAAAGGUCAGGCAUUUCAGUGGGUUUCCCAUUCAUGUCACUGAUUCAUUUUUUAGUUUUUAUUUACAGUAGUGUUCAGUUGCCUCCCGUAGCGGCUAGAACAGGUUUCCGGUAAGUUCGCUCAUCAAAACUUAGGCAAAUAGAACAAGAAAUCAUCUACUGGUUGAUCUUCAGGAACUUUUCUGACUUCAUUAACCCCUAAGCCACA